rnacentral:rRNA from 1 species
AGUGAACGCUGGCGGUAGGCCUAACACAUGCAAGUCGAACGGCAGCACAGGAGAGCUAGCUCUCUGGGUGGCGAGUGGCGGACGGGUGAGGAAUACAUCGGAAUCUACUUUUUCGUGGGGGAUAACGUAGGGAAACUUACGCUAAUACCGCAUACGACCUACGGGUGAAAGCAGGGGACCUUCGGGCCUUGCGCGAUUGAAUGAGCCGAUGUCGGAUUAGCUAGUUGGCGGGGUAAAGGCCCACCAAGGCGACGAUCCGUAGCUGGUCUGAGAGGAUGGUCAGCCACACUGGAACUGAGACACGGGCCAGACUCCUACGGGAGGCAGCAGUGGGGAAUAUUGGACAAUGGGCGCAAGCCUGAUCCAGCCAUACCGCGUGGGUGAAGAAGGCCUUCGGGUUGUAAAGCCCUUUUGUUGGGAAAGAAAUCCAGCUGGCUAAUACCCGGUUGGGAUGACGGUACCCAAAGAAUAAGCACCGGCUAACUUCGUGCCAGCAGCCGCAGUAA